UUUUCAUUCGUGUCUUCAAAUAUGUCAUUGGUGUGAACACUUGCCAACAUUGAGCGUAUGUUUUCCUCCUCUUUAAUUUCCUCACGAAGCUUCAUCCCCUUAUCGUCCAUCAUGUCCUAAACCAAGACCUUGAAUUCCACAUUCUCUUGGGUCUCGAACCCCCUCUCGUGAUGGAAAUCGCAAUGGUUCCGUGUCUUUCCC
rnacentral:lncRNA from 1 species